rnacentral:rRNA from 1 species
GACGAACGCUGGCGGCGUGCUUAACACAUGCAAGUCGAACGGAAAGGCCCUGCUUUUGUGGGGUGCUCGAGUGGCGAACGGGUGAGUAACACGUGAGUAACCUGCCCUUGACUUUGGGAUAACUUCAGGAAACUGGGGCUAAUACCGGAUAGGAGCUCCUGCUGCAUGGUGGGGGUUGGAAAGUUUCGGCGGGUGGGGAUGGACUCGCGGCUUAUCAGCUUGUUGGUGGGGGAGGGGCUUACCAAGGCAUUGACGGGUAGCCGGCCUGAGAGGGUGACCGGCCACAUUGGGACUGAGAUACGGCCCAGACUCCUACGUUAGGCAGCAGUGGGGAAUAUUGCACAAUGGGCGGAAGCCUGAUGCAGCAACGCCGCGUGCGGGAUGACGGCCUUCGGGUUGUAAACCGCUUUCGCCUGUGACGAAGCGGGAGUGACGGUAAUGGGUAAAGAAGCACCGGCUAACUACGUG